rnacentral:tRNA from 1 species
GCCGGGAUGGCGGAACUGGUAGACGCACUGGAUUCAAAAUCCAGCGCUAGCAAUAGCGUGCGAGUUCGAUUCUCGCUCUCGGCACCA